rnacentral:lncRNA from 1 species
AUUGCGCUAGGCACACAUCAUUAUAAUUACAGGAUCUGAACAUCAAUGACCUUGCGCUCCACAUGGGUCUUAGGAAUUGAAAUGUAAAGAACACCAUUCUUCAGCUCUGCAUCUCAAUUUAUUUAUACACUUACAAAGCUGGACAUGUAGAUCACAAAACCUCAACAUACACAUUUCGCCAGGCACUCAUUAUUAUAAUUACAGAAUCUGAACAUCAAUGACCUUGCGCUCCACCUUUGUCUUAGGAAUUGAAAUGUAAAGAACACCAUUCUUGAGCUCUGCCUUGACCUUAUCUUUCUCACAGUUAUCAGGAAGCUGGAGACGAGUAUCGUAAGAGCUAAAACUUGCACCAGACCAACUCGGAUCACCUCCAGCUUCUUCUGCCCUGUGCUCUCCUUUAAUGACAAGGACUUCAUCUUCCACCGACACUUUGACAUCCUCCUUAGAGAGUCCAGGCAUGUCAAAUCUCAUUUUGAUCUCAUUUUCCUCCUCUUUGAUGUCCCACGGUGUUCUCACCUGGCCUCCCCCGCCAGCCCGGCUCCUCCCCGGAAAAGCCAUCGUAUCCUCUAAU